ACGACCUCAACUCAAGCAAGACUACCCGCUGAACUUAAGCAUAUCAGUA
rnacentral:rRNA from 1 species